rnacentral:rRNA from 1 species
UGCUCAGUAACACGUGGAUAACCUACCCUUAGGACCGGGAUAACCCUGGGAAACUGGGGAUAAUACUGGAUAGGCAAUUAUUCCUGCAAUGGUUUUUUGUUUAAAUGUUUUUUCGCCUAAGGAUGGGUCUGCGGCCGAUUAGGUAGUUGGUUAGGUAAUGGCUUACCAAGCCGUUGAUCGGUACGGGUUGUGAGAGCAAGAGCCCGGAGAUGGAACCUGAGACAAGGUUCCAGGCCCUACGGGGUGCAGCAGGCGCGAAACCUCCGCAAUGUGAGAAAUCGCGACGGGGGGAUCCCAAGUGCCAUUCUUAACGGGAUGGCUUUUCAUUAGUGUAAAAAGCUUUUGGAAUAAGAGCUGGGCAGGACCGGUGCCAGCCGCCGCGGUAACACCGGCAGCUCUAGUGGUAGCAAUUUUUAUUGGGCCUAAAGCGUCCGUAGCCGGUUUAAUAAGUCUCUGGUGAAAUCCUGUAGCUUAACUGUGGGAAUUGCUGGAGAUACUAUUAGACUUGAGACCGGGAGAGGUUAGAGGUACUCCCAGGGUAGAGGUGAAAUUCUGUAAUCCUAGAAGGACCACCGGUGGCGAAGGCGUCUAGCUAGAACGGAUCCGACGGUGAGGGACGAAGCCCUGGGUCGCAAACGGGAUUAGAUACCCCGGUAGUCCAGGGUGUAAACGCUGCCGACUUGGUGUUGGAGGCCCUUCGGGGGCAUUCAGUGCCGGAGAGAAGUUGUUAAGUCGGCUACUUGGGGAGUACGUCCGCAAGGAUGAAACUUAAAGGAAUUGGCGGGGGAGCACCGCAACGGGAGGAGCGUGCGGUUUAAUUGGAUUCAACACCGGAAAACUCACCAAGGGCGACUAUCACAUGAAAGCCAGGCUAACGACCUUGCUUGAUUCUUAGAGAGGUGGUGCAUGGCCGUCGUCAGUUCGUACCGUAAGGCGUUCUCUUAAGUGAGAUAACGAACGAGACCCUCAUCUAUAAUUGCUACUUCACCCUCCGGGGUGGAGGCACAUUAUCGAGACCGCUGGCGCUAAGUCAGAGGAAGGAGAGGUCAACGGUAGGUCAGUAUGCCCCGAAUCUCUUGGGCUACACGCGCGCUACAAAGGGCGGGACAAUGGGCUACGACGCCGAAAGGCGAAGUCAAUCUCGAAACCCGUCCGUAGUUCGGAUUGAGGCUUGUAACUCAGCCUCAUGAAGCUGGAUUCCGUAGUAAUCGCGAAUCAAAAACUCGCGGUGAAUAUGCCCCUGCUCCUUGCACACACCG